AGUGAACGCUGGCGGUAGGCCUAACACAUGCAAGUCGAACGGCAGCACAGUAAGAGCUUGCUCUUACGGGUGGCGAGUGGCGGACGGGUGAGGAAUACAUCGAAAUCUACUUUUUCGUGGGGGAUAACGUAGGGAAACUUACGCUAAUACCGAAUACGACCUACGGGUGAAAGCAGGGGAUCUUCGGACCUUGCGCGAUUGAAUGAGCCGAUGUCGGAUUAGCUAGUUGGCGGGGUAAAGGCCCACCAAGGCGACGAUGCGUAGCUGGUCUGAGAGGAUGAUCAGCCACACUGGAACUGAGACACGGUCCAGACUCCUACGGGAGGCAGCAGUAGGGAAUAUUGGGCAAUGGGCGCAAGCCUGAUCCAGCCAUGCCGCGUGGGUGAAGAAGGCCUUCGGGUUGUAAAGCCCUGUUGUUGGGAAAGAAAGGCAGCAGGUUAAUACCCCGCUGUUCUGACGGUACCCAAAGAAAAAGCAACGGCUAACUUCGUG
rnacentral:rRNA from 1 species